rnacentral:lncRNA from 1 species
CUGCUCUGGAAGAAAGACACACCACUGUCACAGAUGUAUGGGGACAGAUUAAGCUCCAGAUGGAAUACUGUCGGUGUCAAUCAGUCACUGUUCUUGCAGCCUGGCCGGCUUUCAUCAAAGUAACCACAGAGGAGGAUUCUGCAACUCACAACCUCUUAAAGCUUUGUAUGGACCGGAGGUGAAGCUCUCCUGUCAUCCUCAGCAUUCCCCUCCAAACGCUUGUUUAUGUCCCACCCCUGCUAAUUCAUACAUAGUAUCUUUUUAUUGUAUUCAUCCUUAAGUGUCUCUUCCAUUUCCAAGUGACUGUUCAAUAUUCCGCAGAAUGUUCCAGCUCUUCAGUGAGCUAUACAUUAUUGUGACAUCAGUUGUCCCAUAAAGUGACAAAAUCUGGAUCAAAUACAGGUCUUAUUGUCAGAAGAGAGGAGAUAAGAUGAAGAAUUGAUCUACAAGUUUCAGCCAGUUUGUUUUAUGUUCCCAUUAUGACACACGUUUGGUUCAUGGCCAGUGACUCUGUGCCUCACUUUCAGACUGAUUGGAUACCACGCAGGCACAGGAAAAGAACAUGUGAAGGAUCCUAUCAGCCUAAAGAAUCACUGUCAGGUGAAGAGUCUAUAAACAUUUCCCAACGUUCAUGGAAAGUUUGAGUCUUCACAAACUAGAGCAGUAUGGAAAAAGAGCUGAAAACAUGGAAUUGUGCAUCCUCUAGGGCAGCAAGGGUUGAACCUUGUGACCCGUGUGCUUAGUCAGGGCCAUUGCUCUGUUUCACUGGGACCAAUGCAGCAAUUUCUGACUUAGCAUUUUAACAUUUUAAAAUUCUUUUCAAUAUUUAUAAAUUGAGAGAUGGCGCAGAAAAUACUGGAAUCUGACCAAAGUGG